rnacentral:rRNA from 1 species
GAUGAACGCUGACAGAAUGCUUAACACAUGCAAGUCAACUUGAAUUUGGGUUUUUAACUUAGGUUUGGGUGGCGGACGGGUGAGUAACGCGUAAAGAACUUGCCUCACAGCUAGGGACAACAUUUGGAAACGAAUGCUAAUACCUAAUAUUAUGAUAAUAGGGCAUCCUAUAAUUAUGAAAGCUAUAAGCGCUGUGAGAGAGCUUUGCGUCCCAUUAGCUAGUUGGAGAGGUAACGGCUCACCAAGGCGAUGAUGGGUAGCCGGCCUGAGAGGGUGAUCGGCCACAAGGGGACUGAGACACGGCCCUUACUCCUACGGGAGGCAGCAGUGGGGAAUAGUGGACAAUGGACCGAGAGUCUGAUCCAGCAAUUCUGUGUGCACGAUGAAGUUUUUCGGAAUGUAAAGUGCUUUCAGUUGGGAAGAAACAAAUGACGGUACCAACAGAAGAAGUGACGGCUAAAUACGUG